GGGCAAAACACCUGAAGCUAACACACCCGGACAAGUGUCUCCACUGACUGCAGAGGCCGAACCCUGGUUGGCAUUGACAACAUUAUAUGACUGAAAGACAGUGACAAGGGAACUGCUGAAGUCACAGAUGAACCAGGAGCUACCCAGAUGAACCGGCAGCACUGUUAACAAGCUAAUGGCACCAAGUGAAAGGUCUCAAACAGUGGUCUGCGGCUUGGCAGCAGUUUUACAUAGAUCUCACACCAUUCACCAUCCCCUCAACCUCCUGAUGACAAAGUCAGUGGAGCGUCGCGGGGGGCUGGAGCCUACACCCUG